UCAGUCAUAAGGAGAAGACAAACACCUCAGUAUAUAUGGAAACACACACAUCCUGCUCUAACAAACCUGUAGGUUAACAAGCCACCAGGUCAGCCUACAAAAGACCUUAUCCGUUCAGAGAUUCCAAGGCGUUGGGGAGCUGAGUGCCCAGAAAACAGGGGUAGAGGCUACAUACAUCCUUCUUGUGUUGUCAGGAAGUGUGGACAGGGGUUUCCCUUGUGGGGUCACCCGUCCCCUCUGGGGGCUUCCAACUCGUGCCCAGAAUUGUCCCCCUGCAGGAGGAGGAAGCAGGGUCCCUCAGGCAUAUGAACACGACACUGCUCAUUCCCUCACUCUGGCCUCACCCCUCCUGCCUCUCAGCUGGAGCAGAAACCAGUCAAGAAGUACCCUCAGCCCCAGAGAAAACCGUCUGCUGACAGUGUCUCAGGGACAGAAGCGGGACGGUGCAGCCUCCUGAGCCAAGCCCAAGCCUCUGGAAGAAAGCUCCCUUAGAAGUAACAGCCGAGACCAAAAGCCAACACCAUUCAAGUGAGAGGCAGAGAACAAGAUGAGUCUUGUGGUCACAGGAGGUGGGGGAACUGGGGGAAGCUGGUGCAAAGGGACCCCCUCCAGUUAGAGGAUGUCUCAGUCGUAGGGGUGUGACGGCCAGCAGGAUACGUGUAACCUACACGGCCAGACACUGUACAGCAGGUUUAUUCAAGGUCAACCUUAAAAGUUCUCAUCACAAGGGAAAGUUUUUUUUCCUCAGUGUUGAAUUGGGUUUCGCCAGGAUAUGAUGGACGUUCCCUAAAAUCGUUCUAGCCAUCAUCUCACGAUGUAAGUCACAUGGCCAUGAUGGACGCGUGAGGCUAACCCAGUGCUGUGUCUCUUCUACUGCAAACGUGGAAGAGAAGUGGGGGAAUGUAUUCACCAGUACUUUGCAGCUCUGCAGACUCGUGUGACUUUUCUGAGCCAACAGGAGGCCUGAGGGCCUGAAGGCAAAUGGGGGGGUCAAGUGUGUGUAGAAAUAGGGAGUUGCUCUGCUGUGUAACAGGCACUAAAACAGUGCAGGUGGUCAGUUCUAUUCCAAACACCAACUCGUAGAAAAUGAGAUGGGGGAGUUCCCCUUGUGGCUGAAUGAUAAGGAACCUGACGAGGAUCCGUGAGGAUGUGGGUUUGAUCCCCAGCCUCACUCAGUGGGUUAAGGAUCUGGCAUUGCCGAGAGCUGUGGUGUAGGUCACACAUGUGGUGGGAUCUGGGGUGGCUGUGGUGUAGCCUGGCAGCUGUGACUUUUACCCCUCGUCUGGCAACCUCCAUAUGCCGUAGGUGUGGCUGCAAAAAAGCCAUCAAAGGAAGAAAAAAGAGUAAGUAGUCUCAAGUCACCAUGUUGUGUAGUAGGAACGAAACAAGUGCUGAAGGUCAAUUUUGUUCCAAAAACACCCUCACAGAGAAAGAGAUGAGAUCUGUGGUUCCCAGAG
rnacentral:lncRNA from 1 species